rnacentral:rRNA from 1 species
UACGUAGGGGGCAAGCGUUGUCCGGAUUUAUUGGGCGUAAAGAGCGUGUAGGCGGCCCGGUAAGUCCGCUGUGAAAGUCAAAGGCUCAACCUUUGAAUGUCAGCGGAUACUGCCGGGCUAGAGUCCGGAAGAGGCGAGUGGAACUCCUGGUGUAGCGGUGGAAUGCGCAGAUAUCAGGAAGAACACCAACGGCGAAGGCAGCUCCGCUGGGACGGAACUGACGCUGAGGCGCGAAAGCGUGGGGAGCGAACAGG